rnacentral:lncRNA from 1 species
AAAAAUUUCGAAAAAUAUGUGCCGAAUUUUUUUAACAAAAGGCAAAAAAUAUUAUUUUUUAGGGAAAAAAAAGUCUUUAAGAGAGAAGAGAAUUUUUCAUAUAUUUGAUUCUGUUUUUAAAUCUCUUCCCUUUUGAGGAAAAGUAUUUUCAUUUGUUGGUAUACGUACCAAUGAAGUUAUUAUUUUGUAAGAGUAUCACUAGUAUGGUGUAAUUUCGUUUUUAUUUUGCUAAAUUAUUGUCUAACAAGCGAGGAUAUGGAGGUAUAUUAUAUUAUACAUGUCUUGUUAUUGAGAAUAAACACUCAUUUGUCAUUUGUGAUAUUUGAGGCACGAAAUCUUUCUUACCAUAUUUCUGUUGUUUUUUUACAAGAAAAAAAAGAAGGCUUAAUUAGUAAAAUGGUCCCUUAAAGACAUUUUUGGUUUCAGAUUGGUCCCUUAAAGAAAAAAAGGUCCAAAUAGGUCCCUUAAAGAAAAAAGAGUCCGAAUAGGUCCCUUAAAAACAUCUCCGUUAAUCAGUUUGGUCCCUAAAAAGAGGUCUAAAUAGGACCAAAAUGAUUAACAGAGAUGUCUUUAAGGGACCUAUUCGGACUUUUUUUUCUUUAAGGGACCUAUUUGGACCUUUUUUUCUUUAAGGGACAAAUUUAAAACCAAAAAUGUCUUUAAGAGACCAUUUUAUUAAUUAAGCCAAAAAAGAAUAAAGACUAAUUUAAUUUCUCAAAGAUAGAUGUGAUCCCUACCUAAUACUCUCUCCGUUGCAAAUAUAUAUGUCAUUUUGUUAAAUUUCGUACGAAUUAAGAAAUCUAAUUUUUAAAAUUGGGAGUAAGGUCUAACUUAACUUUACAAAACGAGUGUGAUGAUUGUCUCUACUUACAAACACAUGUUAAGGUCAUCUCACAUCUGAUGUGAUACUUUUUAACACACUACUUCACGCCCAACACUAUUGGACUGUGUGUGACCCGAUAGCGGAAACUUGAUAGCAAGUGGCCCAAUAGAUCUUGGAGAGACUCUGAUAUCAUCUUAGA